GGUAUGGGAUGAGCUUGCGUCCGAUUAGCUAGUUGGCGGGGCAACGGCCCACCAAGGCGACGAUCGGUAGCCGGCCUGAGAGGGUGAUCGGCCACAUUGGGACUGAGAUACGGCCCAGACUCCUACGGGAGGCAGCAGUAGGGAAUAUUGCACAAUGGGGGAAACCCUGAUGCAGCAACGCCACGUGUGGGAAGAAGCAUUUCGGUGUGUGAACCACUGUCAUGAGGGAAUAAGGCCUAUUUUCGGAUAGGAUUGAAUGUACCUUGAGAGGAAGCACCGGCAAACUUCGUGCCAGCAGCCGCGGUAAUACGAGGGGUGCAAGCGUUGUUCGGAAUUACUGGGCGUAAAGGGAGCGUAGGCGGAGAUUCAAGCGGAUUGUACAAUCCCGGGGCCCAACCCCGGCUCUGCAGUCCGAACUGGAUCUCUUGGAUAGUUCAGGGGCAGGC
rnacentral:rRNA from 1 species